GGGGGUAGAUAGGUGCUGGUGUGCCUGACAGUCUUCAAAACUGCUCUGCCGUGCUAAUAACACGACGGGUGGGUUCGAUUCCCACAUACUCCC
rnacentral:tRNA from 1 species